rnacentral:rRNA from 1 species
ACGCUCGACACCUACGGGACAGCAGUGGGGAAUAUUGCACAAUGGGGGGAACCCUGAUGCAGCGACGCCGCGUGAGUGAAGAAGUACUUCGGUAUGUAAAGCUCUAUCAGCAGGGAAGAAAAUGACGGUACCUGACUAAGAAGCCCCGGCUAACUACGUGUCAGCAGCCGCGGUAAUCUGAGCGGGCUGGCAAGGC